GACGAACGCUGGCGGCGUGCUUAACACAUGUGAGUCGAACGGAAAGGCCCUGCUUUUGUGGGGUGCUCGAGUGGCGAACGGGUGAGUAACACGUGAGUAACCUGCCCUUGACUUUGGGAUAACUUCAGGAAACUGGGGCUAAUACCGGAUAGGAGCUCCUGCUGCAUGGUGGGGGUUGGAAAGUUUCGGCGGUUGGGGAUGGACUCGCGGCUUAUCAGCUUGUUGGUGGGGUAGUGGCUUACCAAGGCUUUGACGGGUAGCCGGCCUGAGAGGGUGACCGGCCACAUUGGGACUGAGAUACGGCCCAGACUCCUACGGGAGGCAGCAGUGGGGAAUAUUGCACAAUGGGCGGAAGCCUGAUGCAGCAACGCCGCGCGCGGGAUGACGGCCUUCGGGUUGUAAACCGCUUUCGCCUGUGACGAAGCGUGAGUGACGGUAAUGGGUAAAGAAGCACCGGCUAACUACGUG
rnacentral:rRNA from 1 species